GUCCAGAAAAUAUAUUUGAUUUGCUUCAAAUCUUCGUAAAGAUGUUAAGACUUGGUUCAGUUGGGUCCUAGCAGCGGUGUCUUCUGAGGCUCUCCGUGCCCUCUCCUUUUCACUUCCGGAAACAUGGCCUCAGUGGUGGCUGGUCUCUGAUGGUGUCAUCAAGGUGUUCAAUGACAUGAAAGUGCGUAAGUCUUCAACGUCAGAGGAGGCGAAGAAGCACAAGGCGGUGGUGUUCUUCUGCCUGAGUGAGGAUAAGAAGAACAUCAUCCUGGAGAAGGGCAAGGAGAUCCUGGUGGGCGAUGUGGGCCAGACUGUCGACAACCCCUACGCCACCUUUGUCAGGAUGCUGCCAGAUAAGAACUGCCGCUACGCCCUCUAUGAUGCAACCUACAAGACCAAGGAGAGCAAGGAGGAGGACCUGGUGUUUAUCUUCUGGGCCCCUGAGUCUGUGCCCCUUAAGAGCAAAAUAAUCUAUGCUAGCUCCAAGGAUGCCAUCAAGAAGAAGCUGACAGGGAUCAAGCAUGAAUUACAAGCAAACUGCUACGAGGAGGUCAAGGACCGCGGCACCCUGGCAGAGAAGCUGGGGGGCAGUGCCGUCAUCUCCCUGGAGGGCAAGCCUUUGUGAGCCCCUUCUGGCCCCCUACCUGGAGCAUCUGGCAGCCCCACACUUCCCCUCGGGGGUUGCAGGCUGCCCGCUUCCUGCCAGACUGGAGGGACUGGGGGGAUACCAGCAGAGGGAGGGCAAUCCCUUCACCCCAGUUUCCAAACAGAUCCCACACCCCCUG